rnacentral:rRNA from 1 species
AUUGAACGCUGGCGGCAGGCCUAACACAUGCAAGUCGAGCGGUGCGGCGGCAGGGUGAGUAUUGCCUAGGUAUCUACAUGGUAGUGGGGGCUAACGUCCGGACACGGGGGCUAAUAUCGCAUACUAUCAGACGAGCCUAGGUCGGAUUAGCUAGUGGGUGGGGUAAAGGCCUACCAAGGCGACGAUCCGUAACUGGUCUGAGAGGAUGAUCAGUCACACUGGAACUGAGACACGGUCCAGACUCCUACGGGAGGCAGCAGUGGGGAAUAUUGGACAAUGGGCGAAAGCCUGAUCCAGCCAUGCCGCGUGUGUGAAGAAGGUCUUCGGAUUGUAAAGCACUUUCAGUCGGGAGGCGUUACCGACAGAAGAAGCACCGGCUAACUCCGUGCCAGCAGCCGCGGUAAUAC